GACGAACGCUGGCGGCGUGCCUAAUACAUGCAAGUAGAACGCAGUUGCGAACGGGUGAGUAACGCGUAGGUAACUGCCUGGUAGCGGGGGAUAACUAUUGGAAACGAUAGCUAAUACCGCAUACUACCAGAUGGACCUGCGUUGUAUUAGCUAGGUGGGUCGGUAACGGCUCACCAAGGCAACGGUACAUAGCGGAGCUUGAGGUGUGAUCGGGCACAACGGGACUGGGACAAGGCCCAGACUCCUACGGGGGGGAGGAGUAGGGAAUCGUUGGAAAUGGGGGGAAACCUGACCGAGCAACUCCGCGUGAGUGAAGAAGGUUCUCCGAGCGUAAAACUCUGUUGUUAAGGAAGCGUUACUUACCCAGAAAGGGCCGGCUAACUACGUGCCAGCAGCCGCGGUAAUAC
rnacentral:rRNA from 1 species